rnacentral:sRNA from 1 species
ACAUGUCAUUUUUCAUAUCAAACCCCUUAUCAUCCCAUGGUCAAUAUCAUGACAUAGGGCUGAUAAGGGGUUUGAUAUGAAAACUGCCAUGUUAUAAUC